AAACCCUAUAGUCAUUUCAAUUCAGUCCGCACUCCUCCCCUUCGUCUUAUCCAUUCUGUCCUGCGCCGGCGACUUCGCCCAACCCGUCGUGCGCCAGCGGCCGCCAUGCCUCGCGCGGAAGGAUGGAGGGCGCUCGCCGUGAGGAUGGACGGCGCGGAGAGGCGCGCUCGCGCCCGAGCUCCUGUGCCCAUGCCUCGCGCCUCCUUGCACCGCUCCGGCAGCCCCUCGCCAUCCGCCGUCGUGGGCGACCACCAGCAGCGCCCGUCGCGCCUCUCCGCGCGCCACUCGGAGGCCCCAGCCAGGCCGCGCAGCCGUCCUCCUCCUCGACCUCGCCUCUCCGUGCGCCAACCGGCGCCGCCGCCGGCGGCCACGGGUCCAGCGCCGCCUUCGUCCUCCACCUUCUCCUAAAGCGCGCGUCCGCCGCGGGCGCUGGCGGUGGCGCGGCGGUCCUUGCCCUCGAUCUCACCGAGGAAGGCGUCCUUGCCGAGCAGCUCGACGAGAGCGCUGCCAAUGUCGCUGAACUGAAUCGCCAGCCAUCUCAGCCCACGUCUUUCAGCACGCAACCGGCGAACCCAUUCAGCAGCUCCUGGGCAAACAGCUUUGACCCCUGUUAACACGUUAUGAGGAUCCAUGGCCUCUUCUUCUAUUUCUUCAGUGCUACCAUCUUGAAACCGGUGCAGUUUCUGCUGCAUCUUCCUGACACUGGUCCUCAACUAGCUUAUUUUGCUCUUCUUUCUGAAGAUCCAUGGCCUGCUUUUCCAAUUGUUGAGUGGGUACAGAAGUCUUCAUAUCAUCACCUAAUUGAUUGCAAACAAAAUUCUCAUCACUUUCAGAUACGACAGUCAAGACACAUAAUGCGGGACACUGCAACUACAGAAAGGCAUGGGACACGCACGGAUUUAAGUCCAUGUCAGGGGCAUCACCUGUCUCAUGUUCGCAGGAGGAAGAAGCUCCAAGUUCGCCGGAGGUACACAAACAUCCGUUGAGCACUCCAAUGUCGCGGCGUCUACACCAGAGGUGCCAAAGGUGUCUCAGGUGGAGGCGAAGGAGGUUCUUCUAAUUCCUAAGGCACCAGACUGGACAUUCCUAUGUUGACUACCAUUUAUGGUCAAUAAAGUUGUCCGUGUUUGUUUUUGAUUGCUCAACUAAAUAUCUGAAGUCCAAUGAUGUAUGCAUUCAUGUUUCUCCUCUAAGGCACAAAGACUGGACAUUCCUAUGAAACAAUAAUUAUCCAGAAGCAGCCUAAUUAUAUGUAUUUGUGUUCGCACAUAUACAUCGUAACUAUGCUAAGGGGUAUUUAUAUGAACUUGGUUCAGGGCCAACAAUACCAGCUGUAGUGCUGAAACAAGCACGAUUCCAUCAUUUGUUACCGGUUCCUUUUGCUCGAUAGCAGGCUCUUUUUGUUGGAUGUGGUAUAAUUAUAUGCCGACAGAUAUUGACAGGUGUAUAAUGUAGUAUAUAUUCCUAAUUCCUCCAAUGUCUUAAUAGCAUGAAGAAUGUAGCACUUCAGGUCCUCAUCAAGUAAGGUUUCCAUUUAAGCAUGGUGUCCAUGCAUGCUAUUGUUAACUUUGCUGACAAUGGCAGCUUAGUGAUCACCGUGUUUGUUAAAUUUAAUUUUCACCUCCGUGUAAUGUAUCAUAGUACUAUGCACAAAGAUACUUCAACACUAAAGCUCGCACCUAACUUGCUCGGGUCUCGGCUCAUGAUUCUUUCAACUUUCAUGUAGUGCUGCUGAAAUAUUAUGUAACACUCAAAUUUGAUGAUAUUUUUAAUGGGCACAACUGUGCCGGUAGAGGUUGACAGUUAAUGAAUUUUGUGAUAAUCUUCGGUUAUACUGUUAUAUAUAGCACUUUGCUGGUUAUAUGGUUCACAUUCUCUGAGCCAAUUCACAAUGACCAUUCCUGAUUUGGGCAUUAUGUUUUUAAAUCAUUUUGUAACAUUUUGGUUGAUUUUUUAUGCUGCUCCUUAAUUUUUUUCAUUGACUGGUGUUGAACUAAAUGAGUGUUGCCAUUCACAGGAUGCCCAGUACAACCGAAGAUGGGUUCCCGAUUGUUCCUAGAUAUUUCAGAGCAACUAGAGUGGUCUUACCUGACAAGCUCCAAUGUUGUGCUGAAGUAUUUUGAACAAGCUUGUCCUUUGCCUUAUGCUGGAACAAGGCACCUUCUAUUCCCCAUGGGCACCAAGAAUGCGAAAACAUUGAUGAUUCGAGCAAAUGUAAGUUCAGGCUUCAAGAUUGAGCCGAGCGCCCUACCAGCAGAUCUGGAUAAUGCAUACAAGAAUGAGAAAGCAUAUCAGCGAUUGGAUAUUUCUGGCCCUACAGUUAACCCUUUUGUUUUUUCCUGUACGGCGAGGGCGAGAUAAAAGAUAUGCUUUCUGUUUGUGCUGAGCAUGGAGCUUGGGUAGUGAUAGACACCUUCUCUGGUCUGGAGUUCCACAACAGAGAUGGCUGGAUUUUGCGGAACGGGAGGAUAUUUUCACAAGCCCAAACCGACCACAUAGCACUUUGAAAUGCACUUAUAGGAAGUUGUUGGUUUUGAAAAACAAGAGGGAUCAACAUUUCUCUAAUCUCAUCACGCCAACAAACUGACGAAGACACUCGAGAGCUGUGGUUGGGAUGUCGCCAGGUACCACUGUGGGAUGUCGCCAGGUACCACUGUGACACGCGUACAUCGGCAAAUCGUUCAGGGUGGAUGAUUUUGAAGGCGAGCUCGACGGCUGCAAUAUCAGGGAAGCCCUACUGAACUACUGCAGGUUCAGCUUACCAUGUAGUAUUUUCUUUACAACAAGGCCUCACACGAGCAAAACUGUCAUCUUGUUGUUUAGUUUUGGCCCGGGACUGCAAUUUUUUCCCUUAUUGCAUUCUUUAGUGCAUAAAAUAAAAUAUAUAAUGUACAUAAAAGCCGAAAACAACCAUUACGAUCAUAGUAGGCGAACUGAAAUUGUAGGGAUAUAAAGCAGUACCUGAACAUACAAAAGCUGGCCACAACUCUGUCUUCAAUUCCAUCUUGUUUCCAGAUUUCAGGAGUAGAUCAUCACCACCAUUACAGAUCAGGCUCUUUGUCAGUGCAAAUAACAGACUAACACCACAAGGACUUCAUUAACCUUAGCCACUUCUUAUGGGUACAUGAGAACUAAAAAAAUUCAUCUGUUAAAAUUUGUUUUUUUUGACUUUUUGGACUAAUUCAUGUGCAGAAUUUAUAUUUUCAAUUAGACUGAUUUAUUGUAGUUUUAUCAACGACUAUAGUAUAUUAAGAUGUGGGCACUAUAUCGAAAGUGUUGUUCUACACCCGAGGUCAUGUGAGCUUGGUUGAACAGUAAAAUAAAUAAAAAAUGGAAAAACAAUUCAAAAAAUGUGAUUUCUUUCCGUGUGAGACACUGAAAAAAUGUUUAUUAGCUUGCAAAAUUUCAAUACUAUCUUUCUUGACUGAUUGUUUGUGGUCUGCCAUGAGCCCACGACGUAGCCAUCUGCAUCUGCCUCGCCUUGAGGCCACAGCAGCACCCCUGCCCUUCUGCUCCUGCUGGCGACCGCAACCCUCUGGCGGCAGCAACACCGCUCUCGUGUGCUGGCCUUGCUGUCUCAUCUCCUCUCUCUCUCAUGUUUGGGUAUGAUGUUAGCGUUAUGUGUGUGUGGAUGGAUAUGAUGCUACCAUGGUGUGUGUAAAAAUCUAUUUUUGGUUUAUUUCUCUUUGGAGUAUUGCUGUUGGAGAUGAGCUUAAGAGGCGAAAGAGUAAAGAUCUGGUAAGCUGUUUGUAUUGCUUCAGGAGAAUCUUUUAUCACUGUUUUUGGGACUGUAUUUAUGUCAAAGAGGCAUGUAGGGAGCUGGAACAAAUUUGUUACUUCUCAUGGCCACUUUUUUGAACAUGAUUAUUGAGCUUGACUAUGCGGAGGUAGGAAAAAAUAUCAGCGUAAUGGGUUUGAGAGA